UAACCCGUACCCAGAUCAGACACUUGUGGGGUGGUAGAGAAUACUAAGAUAAUCGAGAUAACUAAUGGGUAAGGAACUUGGCAAAUUAGCGGACGUACUUUCGAAAUAAGUCCUGUCCCGAGCAAUCGGGAUCGCAGCGAAAGAGAUGGGGGGAACUGUUUAUCAAAAACACAGCUCGCUGCUAACUCGUAAGAGGAUGUAUAGCGGGUGAUGCCUGUCCAAUGCCAGAAUGUUAUGCUCUCUUGUGCAAGCUCGAGGGUUAAGCACUGGUGAAUGACGGCCGUAACUAUGACGGUCCUAAGGUAGCGAAAUUCCUUGUCAGGUAAGUUCUGACGCGCAUGAAUGGCAUAAUCAUCCCCAUGCUGUCUUACCCUUAGACUCGGUGAAAUUACAUUCCCGGUAAAAAUGCCGGGUAGUCACAGUUAGACGGAAAGACCCUGUGAAGCUUUACUGUAGAUUGAUAUUGGAUUGUAGCAUGUUUUGCUCAGUAUAGGUGGGAGGCUUUGAUGUUUCGACUUCGGUUGGGGCGGAGCCAAUAGUGAGAUACCACCCAAAAUAUGUAGCAAUUCUAAUCCCUAGGUUGGGAGACAGUUUCAGUUGGACAGUUUACCUGGGGCGGGUGCCUCCUAAAAAGUAGCGGAGGCGUGCAAAGGUUUGCUUACUACGGAUGGAAACCGUGGUGAAUGUGUAUUCGCAUAAGCAAGCUUGACUGUGAGACUGACAGGUCGAACAGAUACGAAAGUAGGCGAAAGUGAUCCGGAUCUUCCGAGUGGAAGGGGAUCCGCUCAACGGAUAAAAGUUACUCCGGGGAUAACAGGCUAAUGGAAUCUAAGCGUUCACAGCGACGAUUCCGUUUGGCACCUCGAUGUCGACUCGUCGCAUCCUGGGGCUGUAGAAGGUCCCAAGGGUUGGGUUGUUCACCCAUUAAAGCGGGACGCGAGUUGGGUUCAGAACGUCGUGAGACAGUUCGGUCCCUAUCUACUGUGACCGUAGGAUAUUUGAGAGAUGCUGACCCUAGUACGAGAGGACCGGGUUGGACGAGCCUCUGAUAGUACCAGUUGUUCCACCUAGGAGCACGGCUGGAUAGUUAAGCUCGGAAAAGGUAACCGCUGAAAGCAUCUAAGUGGGAAACUUGUCUCAAGAUUAGAUAUCCCUCUU
rnacentral:rRNA from 1 species